UACAGAGGUCUCAAGCGUUGUUCGGAUUCAUUGGGCGUAAAGGGUGCGUAGGUGGCGCUGUAAGUCGGGUGUGAAAUUUCGGAGCUUAACUCCGAAACUGCAUUCGAUACUGCGGUGCGUGAGGACUGGAGAGGAGACUGGAAUUCAUGGUGUAGCAGUGAAAUGCGUAGAGAUCAUGAGGAAGACCAGUGGCGAAGGCGGGUCUCUGGACAGUUCCUGACACUGAGGCACGAAGGCCAGGGGAGCAAACGGG
rnacentral:rRNA from 1 species